AUGUUGUAAAAAAUUUCCAUGUGGUCACUUCAACUUUCUUAAAAUUUACAUAUUAAACAUUUUCAAUACUAUGAAUUAUAACUAGGAACCAUAUUUUCUUCUUUCUAUGAAAAACUAUAUUAAUGUUGCAUAAUCAUUCAACUCAGUGAAUCUGAAGAAAUUUCAGAAGUUGAUCCAAGAGAAUGUGAUGAGGUUCCGAUCAAGUUAUUAAAAAAAAAAUCACCUCCUACUCAGGCAAAGCCACACAUCAGCACUAGAAAUAAUGAUUUGGUUGCUUUAUCAAUGACAACAAGGGCUGAAGACACCUUUCACUACUCUGAUCAAGAAUGUUUACCGUGUUUUGUUUAUCUAUAUUAAAUCAUGUUUAACACGUGUAAAAACCUGUACAUAUCUUUUUUUGCCCAAAACUCAACAAUAUUUUUUGCAUCCCCAUACAACAGCAUCUCCUCAUUUUUUGUAUGCAAAAGCUGGAACAUAGUAUAUUAGAUGGGGUUAUUAGAAGAAAUUUAGUUAUUAUAAU